CCUACGGGUGGCAGCAGUGGGGAAUAUUGCACAAUGGGGGGAACCCUGAUGCAGCGACGCCGCGUGAGUGAAGAAGUAUUUCGGUAUGUAAAGCUCUAUCUGCAGGAACGAGACAAGACGGUACCUGACUAAGAAGCCCCGGCUAACUACGUGCCAGCAGCCGCGGUAAUACGUAGGGGGCAAGCGUUAUCCGGAAGCACUGGGUGUAAAGGGAGCGUAGACGGCUGAGCAAGCCUGAAGUGAAAGGCGGGGGCCCAACCCCCGGACUGCUUUGGGAACUGGACGGCUGGAGUGCAGGAGAGGUAAGUGGAAUGCGUGGUGUAGCGGUGAAAUGCGUAGAUAUCAGGAGGAACCCCAGUGGCGAAGGCGGCUUACUGGACUGUAACUGACGUUGAGGCUCGAAAGCGUGGGGAGCAAACAGGAUUAGAUACCCUAGUAGUC
rnacentral:rRNA from 1 species